CUACCCGCAACGGGCUGAGCAACUUAUCGGAUAGAAGAGUUGCAACGCCACCCCUCAAUUCGAGAGGUAAUUAUGAGAGGAGAAUCGGUCCGUCGACGCAUCGAGUCGAUGGAGCAGCUACCCUCUUUAAAUCAUCAAAAUAACGGAGGAAACUCGGGAUCCAGCCGUGCAAUCGAGAACGCCUAUAGUUUCACAUAGAAAUGUUCGGAAAAACAAAAAAGCAAAAAAACGAACGAAUUAUGCGUCGCCUCAGCGCCUCCAGUCAUAAGAAAAAUUUGUCUCUUUACGUUUCUGUUGAUCAUUUCGUGCAUCUUCAUUGAUUGUCUUCCCUAUUUGAAGGUUUGCAAAUUACAAAAUCUUCGUCGGA